GACUUGUGAGCGCCGGACACGGCGAUCUGCGUCCAAAAGGGCGUUACGAUCGGCCGGUCCUGGUGCCGUAAAAUCUGCAACUGGGUCGUCGCUGGCCUUAACUGGUCGGCGGCGUCUGCUCGGUUGCUCGUUUACUGUGAGAAAAUUGGAGUGUUCAAGGCAGGCGUGGAUUGCAACUGAACAUGUUAGCAUGGAAUAAUAAGAUAGGGCUCCGGCUCAUAUUUUGUUGGUUUCUAGAGCGUGGGAGUAAUGAUUGAUAGGGACAGUUGGGGGUGCUAGUAUUCAGCGGCCAGAGGUGAAAUUCAUGGAUUCGCUGAAGACUGACUUAUGCGAAAGCAUU
rnacentral:rRNA from 1 species